CCGUACGUGGGCGGGGAGCGCUGGCCGAUUCCCUCUCGGCCGUCUGGCUGACUCCGCAGAUGGACCGGCUGUUCCAGGACGGGUUGCCCGGCC
rnacentral:tRNA from 1 species